CAGCAGCAGCCGCGGUAAUACAGAGGGUGCGAGCGUUAAUCGGAUUUACUGGGCGUAAAGCGUGCGUAGGCGGCUUCUUAAGUCGGAUGUGAAAUCCCUGAGCUUAACUUAGGAAUUGCAUUCGAUACUGGGAAGCUAGAGUAUGGGAGAGGAUGGUAGAAUUCCAGGUGUAGCGGUGAAAUGCGUAGAGAUCUGGAGGAAUACCGGUGGCGAAGGCGGCCCCCUGGACAAAGACUGACGCUCAGGUGCGAAAGCGUGGGGAGCAAACAGGAUUAGAUACCCGAGUAGUCCCUGUCUCUUAUAC
rnacentral:rRNA from 1 species